rnacentral:rRNA from 1 species
AUUGAACGCUGGCGGCAUGCUUUACACAUGCAAGUCGAACGGUAACAGGCCGCAAGGUGCUGACGAGUGGCGAACGGGUGAGUAAUUCAUCGGAACGUGCCCAGUCCUGGGGGAUAACUACUCGAAAGAGUAGCUAAUACCGCAUACGAUCUAUGGAUGAAAGCGGGGGACCGUAAGGCCUCGCGCGAUUGGAGCGGCCGAUGUCAGAUUAGGUAGUUGGUGGGGUAAAGGCUCACCAAGCCAACGAUCUGUAGCUGGUCUGAGAGGACGACCAGCCACACUGGGACUGAGACACGGCCCAGACUCCUACGGGAGGCAGCAGUGGGGAAUUUUGGACAAUGGGCGCAAGCCUGAUCCAGCAAUGCCGCGUGCAGGAAGAGGGCCUUCGGGUUGUAAACUGCUUUUGUACGGAACGAAACGGCUCUGGUUAAUACCCGGGGCUAAUGACGGUACCGGAAGAAUAAGCACCGGCUAACUACGUG